rnacentral:rRNA from 1 species
ACGAAGGGGGCUAGCGUUGUUCGGAAUUACUGGGCGUAAAGCGUGCGCAGGCGGCUUCUCAAGUCAGGGGUGAAAGCCCAGAGCUCAACUCUGGAAUUGCCUUUGAGACUGAGAGGCUUGAGUACGGGAGAGGUGAGUGGAAUUCCCAGUGUAGAGGUGAAAUUCGUAGAUAUUGGGAAGAACACCGGUGGCGAAGGCGGUCUGCUGGGCAGUAGCUGACACUGAGGCGCGACAGCGUGGGGAUCAAACAGGA